CCUUAACGCACGCAUCUUCGGCGCCGCUUCUCGGCUCGUCCGAGCUCCGUAGCCCUCCCCGCUGCCCUUCAUCUCCUUCCUCCAAUAUUCCAGACCUCCAAUUCCAUUCCUUCUCCUCGAAGAAAACAAUGGAAUCCAUUUGCCGAGUCCGCCACCACCCAACCCCUCUCCACCUCCCCCUCUUCUCCCACCCCGCCUUCUCAAAACCCCUCCUCCCCCUUAAACCCUUCUCCUCCAAACCCAGAUCCCCUCUCUCCUUCCGCGCGUGCUAUACCUCGCCCAAAACCCAAGAGCACCUCUCUUCUCUCCUCUGGCCCACCGGCGCCGCCAUCGCCGCCGCCGCCGCCCUCCUCCUCGCCCGCCUCUACCGCCCCGCCCCCGCCGUCGCAUUCUCCCCGCCUUCCGCCACCGUCCAACCCGAGACCCUCCCCUCCUCCCCCACCUCCGCCGACUCCGAAACCCUCACCGAGGCCGAGGAGGAGCGCACCCUCGAGGAGUACCUACACUCCCACCCCGACGACAUCCGCUCCCUCCGAGCGCUCAUGGAGCUCAAGGUCAAGUCGUGGAAGCUCCCCGAGGCCAUCGACAUCGUCGACCGCCUCGUCGCCCUCGAGCCUAGGGAGAGGGACCUCCCCCUCCUCAAGGCCCACAUCCAGAGCUACAGCGGCGACGCCGAGACCGCGAAGCAGGGGUUCGAGGAGAUCCUCCAAAGGGAUCCGUUCUGCGUCGAGGCCUAUCACGGGCUCGUGAUGACCGCCUCCCAGUCGAAGGAGUCCAACGAGGAGAUGAAUGGUAUUCUGAAGAGAGUCGAGGAGGCCAUGGAGAAGUGCAAGAAAGAGGAAAAAAGGGAGGACUUGAGGGAUUUCAAGCUGCUGGUUGCCCAGAUUAGGGUCAUUAAAGGGAAGUAUGAGGAGGCUCUCAAGAUAUAUGAAGAAUUGGUGAAGGAGGAGCCGGAAGAUUUCAGGCCGUAUCUGUGCCAGGGGAUUAUAUAUACUUUGUUGAGGAAGAAGGACGAGGCCGAGAAGAAGUUCCAGAAUUACCGAAGGCUCGUUCCAAUGGGCCAUCCUUAUGCACGGUACUUUGAGGAGAACAUGAUAGCGAUGAAGAUUUUUGGGCAGAUGGAGGAGAACAAAAGAAAAGGAUCUUUCAAGAGUUGAGGGGUCAUCGGUAUUCGCUUUUGCUGGAGAUCUCAAGGUGAAACAUAUUUCGCAUACAAUGAGAGUGAUAAGGUGGCCUACCUAGGCAGGCAGAUGAGGAAUCCAACGGUUCAUCUUGUGUCACCUAGUGAGGAAGGACUUUUGUGCUGAGGUGAAACAUCUCGUUUUUACAAGGAGAUCUAUUAGAUGAAGAAGAAAGGCCGUGCUGGGUCAAUUUCCAUCUUAUUUACGCGCAAAACGUCACAUUUUGGAACGUGAUUCGAAUCGAGCAAAAAUAAAUAUAAACAAAAGUUUCGAUGUUAUUCAAGUACAUAAAUAGCAAGCCCUCCUAUGCCCGUGUGGCCUUCGGAUUCAAAUUUCAAAGUUCAAACCCAUUUAAGCCGGAGAACGUCCGGCCUUUACAAGGGGCCUGUACCAAACUGCAGCUUUUGUCCAGAUGGAAUCGUGUACGGUUGUGUCUACGUUCGUUCCUGGGACGCAGUCAGACGAAGUCACCGCUCGGCUUUGACCACAUCCGCGAGCAAACCCAACGAAAGCAGCACCGGCAGCAAAAUACGAACUUUUCUCGUCAAAUUCCUUUUUUUUCUUUUUUUUUUUUUCCGUUCAUCUUCUCAACAAGGCAUUAUGGUAAGAGGAGCGGUCUUAGCCUUGUCGCCAGAAGAAAAACUGAUAACGGCUUCUAUAUUUUAGUUCUCUUUCGGUAGUUUCGUUCUGCCGUGCAAGUUUUGCAUUUGGAAAUCUAGAGUUUUCAACGCGGAUUGCCCAAACCCAUUCCUUCCUUUUACCCAACCAAACCCCCGAACUCACCAACUUCGCAGAAGUUGAGGUGGCGGGGGGAAGAGAGAGAUGGUGAAUUGGGAGCUCAAGCACUGCUGCGAUCACGAUCAGGUCGUCUUCAUCGUGACCAUCGGCGUCUUCACCGUCAUCAUCCUCGCCGUACGUCUCCCUUCGAACUCGCGUCCCAUUCUCUCAUGUCUCAAUCUAUCGGUUCUUCUUCCCUCCUUUGGGCCAGACCCCCCGCCUUCUUUUUCCUACUAAAUCCUCAAGGGCAGUUUGUGAAGUCCAUUGAAUUAGUUUGUCCAUUUUAAUUUCUACAUUAUAAACCCAUAAAGUUUUGGAAAUUUUUAAUCAUAACGUGGCUGUAACGAAGUUUACCCUUCUGAUUGGAUCUGGUGUUGUCUUGGCCACUUCUGAUAGACUGUUUGCUUGUUGGCCUGUUUUAAGCGAUAUGAAUUUUUCCUAAUAUUGCAGUGUUGUAAAUGCUAUAUGCAUCAUCUGUUUGAAAUAUCUGUAGUUGUGGAGGACGGUAUUGCUGACCCCUUUCAAGCUCGUCACGGUGUUUCUCCACGAGACCAGCCAUGCUCUUGCGUGCAAACUAACAUGCGGGCAGGUGGAAGGCAUGGAGGUUCAUGCCAAUGAGGGUGGGGUCACGCGAACCCGUGGUGGCAUCUACUGGCUAAUUUUGCCUGCUGGGUAUAUAUAUGAUGAUUUAAUAUCCCGAAGAGUCCACUCAAGUGAUGCUGAGAAAUUUGCUGAGAUUUUCCCUUGCCCUUGUAAUGGUGUAGCAUGGGGGGUUAUUUGGGGUCUGAUAUCAUUUGUGUUUCUUUGCGGAUCCAUUUACCUUGGUCUUGUUAUUUUGUCAUAAGGGUCCCACUUUCGCAUGGAUUCUUGUCUCUCUUUAUGGUCUGGAGUAACAUAAUUUUUUAAGAGGUUCCCAUUGCUCAGAUAUUCAGAUUGGAUCAGGCUUGCAAUUUUUUCUCCUGGAUGAGUUAUGGAGUAAUAGAUGGCCAUUUGCUGCUACAUGCUUGUAUUCAUUAUUCUUUUAUGACACUUUUGAUUGGUCUCACCUUACAACAUUCAGUCUCAAUACAUAGUUGAUCAUUCUUUGGUACUGAAGAAAUUUUGUACUUCUGAUUUGUUAUCAAAGGUUUCUGAUUAAGUGUUACUACAAUCACUUAUUUUUUACCAAA